GCCUGCUAGCCGCAGUAUUUUGACUGUGCUAAGGUAGCAUAAUCAUUAGUCUUUUAAUUGAAGGCUGGUAUGAAUGGCAAGACGAGAAAAAAGCUGUCUUUGAAUUUCAUUUUUUAGUGCAAAAGCUAAAAUAAUUUUAAAGGACGAUCAGACCCUAUGGAGUUUUUUUGUUGGGGCGACAAUACUUGAUCCCUAAAGUGGGAUUAAAAGACUAAGUUACCCUAGGGAUAACAGCAUAAUCUUUUUGGAGAGUUCUUAUCGAUAAAAAGGUUUGUGACCUCGAUGUUGGAUUAAGAGUUUAGUGGGGGGCAGUAAUUCCACUGUAAAGUCUGUUCGACUUUUAAUAUCUU
rnacentral:rRNA from 1 species